rnacentral:rRNA from 1 species
CCUACGGGUGGCAGCAGUAGGGAAUAUUGCUCAAUGGCGGAAACCCUGAAGCAGCAACGCCGCGUGGAGGAUGAAGGUUUUAGGAUUGUAAACUCCUUUUGUUAGAGAAGAUAAUGACGGUAUCUAACGAAUAAGCACCGGCUAACUCCGUGCCAGCAGCCGCGGUAAUACGGAGGGUGCAAGCGUUACUCGGAAUCACUGGGCGUAAAGGGCGCGUAGGCGGGAUAGCAAGUCAGAUGUGAAAUCCUAUGGCUUAACCAUAGAACUGCAUUUGAAACUGUUAUUCUAGAGUAUGGGAGAGGUAGGUGGAAUUCUUGGUGUAGGGGUAAAAUCCGUAGAGAUCAAGAAGAAUACUCAUUGCGAAGGCGACCUGCUAGAACAUAACUGACGCUGAUGCGCGAAAGCGUGGGGAGCAAACAGGAUUAGAUACCCCAGUAGUC